GACGUAGGGGGCGAGCGUUGUCCGGAUUUAUUGGGCGUAAAGAGCGCGUAGGCGGCCCGGAAAGUCUGAUGUGAAAACCCGGGGCUCAACCCCGGGCCUGCAUCCGAUACUCCCGGGCUGGAGGCAGGUAGGGGAGAUCGGAAUUCCUGGUGUAGCGGUGAAAUGCGCAGAUAUCAGGAGGAACACCAAUGGCGAAGGCAGCUCGCUGGGACGUUACUGACGCUGAGACGCGAAAGCGUGGGGAGCAAACAGG
rnacentral:rRNA from 1 species